rnacentral:sRNA from 1 species
UUUUUCAUCUGUGAGAUAUAUAUCAUUUAUAUAUUUCUGCCAUCAUUUUAAUUUCCUUGCUUUCUUACUUUGCUCUGUGUGUACACACAUAAGUGCAUGUGUAUGUGAAUAUAACUAUUGCAUUUUAUUAAACAGAAGUUCUGAGAUAUUGGCAGUAUACAACUUUGUGAACAUGAUGUUACUAAAUAAAUAACACUGUAUUUAUUAGACUGGAGUAGCAAUUAGACCCUAAAUGCGAUGGUUUAGCACACUAGGAAUUCAUUUCUUGCUCAUGUAACACAAGUUUUAAUUGCAGGGGUUUUUAAAAUAUAUUUCAGAUGAGUAAAGCACAUGUUCCCUCUUGGAAGAUGACUCUGCUAAAUGUUUGCAGUCUUGUAAAUAAUUUGAACAGCCCAGCUGAGGAAACAGGAGAAGUUCAUGAAGAGGAGCUUGUUGCAAGAAGGAAACUUCCUACUGCUUUAGAUGGCUUUAGUUUGGAAGCAAUGUUGACAAUAUACCAGCUCCACAAAAUCUGUCACAGCAGGGCCUUUCAACACUGGGAGUUAAUCCAGGAAGAUAUUCUUGAUACUGGAAAUGACAAAAAUGAAAAGGAAGAAGUCAUAAAGAGAAAAAUUCCUUAUAUUCUGAAACGGCAGCUGUAUGAGAAUAAACCCAGAAGACCCUACAUACUCAAAAGAGAUUCUUACUAUUACUGAGAGAAUAAAUCAUUUAUUUACAUGUGAUUGUGAUUCAUCAUCCCUUAAUUAAAUAUCAAAUUAUAUUUGUGUGAAAAUGUGACAAACACACUUAUUUGUCUCUUCUACAAUUGUGGUUUAUUGAAUGUGAUUUUUCUGCACUAAUAUAAAUUAGACUAAGUGUUUUCAAAUAAAUCUAAAUCUUCAGCAUGAUGUGUUGUGUAUAAUUGGAGUAGAUAUUAAUUAAGUCACCUGUAUAAUGUUUUGUAAUUUUGCAAAACAUAUCUUGAGUUGUUUAAACAGUCAAAAUGUUUGAUAUUUUAUACCAGCUUAUGAGCUCAAAGUACUACAGCAAAGCCUAGCCUGCAUAUCAUUCACCCAAAACAAAGUAAUAGCGCCUCUUUUAUUAUUUUGACUGAAUGUUUUAUGGAAUUGAAAGAAACAU